CCCAGUUAAAUUAGGCUUUCAGAAAAACAGUGAAUCCUUUUUUAGUAUAAACAUGUCCCAUAAGAUAUUUGGAACAUACUUAUGCAAAAAAAUUAUUUGUCUGUCUGAAAUUCAGAUGAACUGGAUGUCCUGU
rnacentral:miRNA from 1 species